GGUAUAGCUCAAGUGGUAGAGCACAUGCUUAGCAUGCAUGAGGUCCUGGGUUCAAUCCCCAGUACC
rnacentral:tRNA from 1 species